rnacentral:rRNA from 1 species
GACGAACGCUGGCGGCGUGCCUAAUACAUGCAAGUUGAGCGCUGAAGGUUGGUACUUGUACCAACUGGAUGAGCAGCGAACGGGUGAGUAACGCGUGGGGAAUCUGCCUUUGAGCGGGGGACAACAUUUGGAAAGGAAUGCUAAUACCGCAUAAAAACUUUAAACACAAGUUUUAAGUUUGAAAGAUGCAAUUGCAUCACUCAAAGAUGAUCCCGCGUUGUAUUAGCUAGUUGGUGAGGUAAAGGCUCACCAAGGCGAUGAUACAUAGCCGACCUGAGAGGGUGAUCGGCCACAUUGGGACUGAGACACGGCCCAAACUCCUACGGGAGGCAGCAGUAGGGAAUCUUCGGCAAUGGACGAAAGUCUGACCGAGCAACGCCGCGUGAGUGAAGAAGGUUUUCGGAUCGUAAAACUCUGUUGGUAGAGAAGAACGUUGGUGAGAGUGGAAAGCUCAUCAAGUGACGGUAACUACCCAGAAAGGGACGGCUAACUACGUG